GCACUUAAAUCGUGAAUCAUUUGAACGCCAUCUUCAAGCUUCUCUUUUUAGGGAUAUUCAGCUAUAGAAAAUGAAUCAGAAGAGCUGGGAAGGAUAGAAGAGAAAAAUGAAGUGAAUUUUAAGAAUAUUACCUGACACACCAACUGAGGAAAUGCUGAAGAAGUCUGCUUUAAGUAAUCACUCACAUGAGUGCCUGUUUACCAUUCCAGUCCAACAGUGAGCAACUUCGACCGUUUACUCCUCUUGGACCAGUGCAUCCAGCACCUGCAACACGUCACUCGCUGGUUUGCAGGUUGAAUCAGCACACAGAUGGAAGCAGACAGCUCCCUGCUCCUCAGUUUCAUGGAAGCAGACCCCAGUCACUGUCUUGGCAUGGCACCACUGCUGGACAAUCUGUUGAUGAGAGCUGUGAACCAUCUUGGGAGUAAAGACGUCGGAUAGAAAACUGUCCACACAUUUCUUAGCCUCUCAAAAAGUUUAGGUUUUGUGUGAAUGUUGAUG
rnacentral:lncRNA from 1 species